GGGAGGUUGCGCGUGCGCGUUGAUGUUCGUGGUGACUGCACGAUACACGGUCGACCUCUCUUCCGUGUC
rnacentral:miRNA from 1 species